AGUGAACGCUGGCGGUAGGCCUAACACAUGCAAGUCGAACGGCAGCACAGGAGAGCUUGCUCUCUGGGUGGCGAGUGGCGGACGGGUGAGGAAUACAUCGGAAUCUACUUUUUCGUGGGGGAUAACGUAGGGAAACUUACGCUAAUACCGCAUACGACCUACGGGUGAAAGCAGGGGACCUUCGGGCCUUGCGCGAUUGAACGAGCCGAGGUCGGUUUAGCUAGUUGGCGGGGUAAAGGCCCACCAAGGCGACGAUCCGUAGCUGGUCUGAGAGGAUGAUCAGCCACACUGGAACUGAGACAGGGUCCAGACUCCUACGGGAGGCAGCAGUGGGGAAUAUUGGACAAUGGGCGCAAGCCUGAUCCAGCCAUACCGCGUGGGUGAAGAAGGCCUUCGGGUUGUAAAGCCCUUUUGUUGGGAAAGAAAUCCAGCUGGCUAAUACCCGGUUGGGAUGACGGUACCCAAAGGAUAAGCACCGGCUAACUUCGUGCCAGCAGCCGCAGUAA
rnacentral:rRNA from 1 species